UUGAGCAAGCAAGACAUGAUAUGAAGAAUUUCAGAAGAUCACACUAACAGUUGUGUAGAAGCAAAACUUUCAGGAUUCCGGAAGAUUUGUGGGCACCUGAGCUAAUGUUGAGGUGGCAGAAGAGGAGCUGACUCCAGUAACUCAUUUUCUCCCUAUCUUUUACCCAGCUGCUUUGCACAAGGUUGAGUUCUUUAAUGAAAGACGAGAUGGCAGAUCCAGUUGUCAAGCUGCUUGGAUGGUGUUAGACUCAGGUCCCUUGCAGAAUCUUUAGAAGCCCAGCCCAGGCAAGAGAGCUCUCCUUGAGGUGACCGCCUGGAGCGUCUAUACUGCAGGAAGGGCUGCUUUAGAAAAUGAGAAGGAUAGCAAUCAGGAUCUGGAGUCAGCAAACUGGAAUGGACGGGGCAAAUCAGGCCCCCUGCACCCCGAUACACACACUUCCAUCAGGACACAUUGCUCUCACUCCUUGUACGUGCGAUGUCUAUGACACUUUCUGUGCUCCAAGGGCAGAAUCAGGAAUAACCUCUUUGAAGACCAGGGUGUGAGCUGGCUUGUUCACCACAAUAUCCCCCAGUGCCCAGAACUUUAAAGGGGCUCAAGAACAUUUGUUUAGUAAAGAAUACCAUGUGGCUAACCUAACAAGAUGCAAACGGAGAUAUUAAGAUUGAAGACAGAUGCUGCUCCUACCGUCGGCGGGGAUGGAGGGCAGUUGAAGAACCAAUGUGAAGGGAACUUCUAGAGACUGGGAGGAAGUCUAACACCUUUCCUCUGUUGAGUGACUGUUACCCAUGAGACCCUAGGGCUACACACGUGAACAGACCACCAUGGUCCCUGUCCUCAUAGUGCUGGUGUUGUAGCACAUUGUUUAAACCCUCCAUCCCCAUUUUAGGAUAGGGCAUGGGGAAGCCUUUUUUUUUUCUCUUUUUUUUUUUUUUUCUUUAUGUAAAGGGCCAGAUAGUAAAUAUUUUAUGCUCUGCAGGUUUGCGAUUUGUGUCACAAAUACUCAACUCUGCUGGUGUAGUGCAAAAGCCAUCACAAAUGGCACAACAUCAUGGCUAUGUUCAAAUAAAACCUUAUUUACAAAAGCAAGCAAUGGGUCUGGUUUAGCA